rnacentral:lncRNA from 1 species
UGCCUUUCUAGAAAUAAAAACAAAAACAAAAACAAAAAACUAUAUUAAGUCCAGCAUAAACUCAGAAUUGCAUAGAUUUGUUUGAUCAGUGUUCUACCUUAUCGACAAUCCUCCAUAAAGAGAAUAUAGGCUCAUUUGAGUAUCUGGUAAUUGAAGUUUUGUUAUUUGUAUGUUAGUAGUAAGAGUUUGCUGGUUUGUACCCAUCUCAUUCCAUAAAUAGGAUGAGGUGUACCUGAGGUCACACGUUAAAUAUAUAGUGAAACAUUAAUAGAAAUCAAGAACAAGGAAAUGAAAUAAUAGACUGUGUGACAAGGAGAAAAUAGGAUUAUAUAUCCAGAUCACAGUGGUCAUUUCCAGUGGGUAUACUUCAACCAAAAUUUAGAAUUGGAGCUUUUUUGGUAGCUCUUUAAAACAAAGAGUGAAACAUACCAUUGAUUUGUUGAAUUGAUGACAGGGGCAAAACUCACCAGUUCUGUGGAAGGAAAGCCUCUUUUAGUGUUGACACUAAAGGAAACUUUUUACAUAGAUUCUCAUAUUGGCUGUUUUUAUACAGAUAACUUUUUUUUAAAGGUAGGCAGUGCCUUCAUUGAUAUUCUUAUGGCCAAUGCAUAGUGACUUUGGAAAGGUUAUUCUCAUAGUGACCAUUUUACAAAGAACCAAUGGCCUAAUAACAAAGUCCAAAGCACCGAGAGCUGGGUUUUGAAUCACCAUGAGAAUAUAUCCAAAAAAAAAAAAAAAAAAAAAGAAAAGAAGAAAAUAUGAUCCAAGUUACUGAGCAUUACAGUUUCCCAUUAUAUUAGAGAAGUUUAAUUUUUAUUACUAAUGUCUUCUUAGAGACUUGAAUCAAAUUUGGUGAAUGCCUAAAUAGGCAGCCCCCAAAUAAAUAGCUCAUAAGUGCUCUGUUAAGGCUCAUUUCCUUUCUACAAACAUUGAUCACAUGACCACGAUGAGCAAGGUGGUGGCCCACGUUCCUUAUGGGUAUCAUUUGGUAUUUGUAGCAGGAGCUAAGGAGUCCUUUUGGCUCCCCGUUCCCCCAGGAGCAUUCUGAGAUCCACACAGAUGACUUGGUCCAAGCCCAUAGCUGGACUAUCAUCUUGGUGUAUCAUCUUGAGUUUAUGACUUUCCUCAUGCUUGCUAAAGGGUAUGUUAUUUAUUUGAGAGUUGAUCUGAGCCAUCUGGAGUUGUAUCAGUGUGGAGAUCACCUUAUGGAGGACCCAUCCCUCCACCCUCCAAGCUCCUUCACCUUCAGGAUGGCAGGGCUUACCCAGGAACCCCUGGAGAGGAGCGGGGAGCCAGUGUGUAGGCCCCAUGAGAGGGAACCAGCUGCCUGAGCCCUUGGGGACUCAGAACGUGGUGGACUCAAUAUGUGGUCCUAUCUGCUCUGGACAAAGAUUUUGAGUAAUCUGUCAGGGAACAGAGAUUUAGAGGGUGGUCAGAGGAUUUGAAGCAGGGAAGCUCCUGCAUCAGCCCCCAGUGGUUCCAGUCAGUCUUUGCCCAUUCUCCAGGUAGACUGAGGAAGGCGAGGUGCUGCCAAAGACCACCUGUGGGGGCUUGAGCUUUGGAAACUAGGGGUCUGUAUUUAUAAGACUCCAGGGCAGGGGGGUUGGUGGGCUUUUUCGGUAAAGGGCCAGAUAUUAAAUAUUUUGGGCUUUGUAGGCCAGCCCUUCUGUGUUGCAGCUGCUGUGCCUUGGAGCGCAGAAGCAGCCAUAGACGGCAAGUCAGCAAAUAAAGAAGCUUUAUUUAUGGACACUGAAACUUGAAAUUCAUAUGAUUUUAUGUGUCACAAAAUGUUAUUCUUCUUUUGGUUUUUUCCCAACCACUUAAGAAUGUAAAACACAUUCUUAGCUCAGAAGCCGGACAAAACAGGUGGUGGGCAGGACAGGACUUGGCCUAGAGGCCGCAGUGUGCUGACAUGGCCAGGACGGUGCUGCCUCAUAGAAUUCUGAUGCAUCUGUCAUUUUAGAGUUUCUCGUAACCACAUGGAAAAGGUUAGAGAAACAGAUAAAUAAUGUUAAUACGUCUUACACAACCCAAGAGAGGCAAAAUGUUAGUUGAAUAUUUAAAUGACAUAAAAAUUAUUACUGAGAUUUUUUUUUUGUUCUGUUUUUACACUAAGUCUUCGAAAUCUGGCAUGUGGGCUUCUGGGAGGAUGACCUCCUAUGUGGCUUGUCUCCCUGCUCCUGUGGCGAGGCCCCUGGCUGGGACCCAGCAUGUCAAGGGGCAGGUCAGUCCUGGACCUGCCCCUGAGCAGCAGGGACCAUAGACUGGGGCCCCGUGGUCUCCAGCCCAGCAUCCAUGGUGACUUGGGGCUGGUGUGCCCUCACUUCUUCAUCUGGGGGGUGGGACGGGAUGGUGGCCUUUCCUGAGGGCCGGCGAGGGAGGGCGUGUGGUGCUUGGCAGGUGUGACAGAAAGGGAGCUGGCUCCCCGUGCAUCGAACUAGUUACAGGGUCGGCUGACUAGCAGGUGAAGCCUGCCGGCCCUGAGACUGGCAGCAAAUGGAAGGAGAAUCGGAUGCUAGGAGUUCAUUUUCUGUCUCAUCUUGUGAUAAUUUUAUAUCCAGCAUAUAAACCCCGUGAGUGACUUGGUUAUUCUUCCUUUUUGUACAUUAAAAAAUAUCUUUUUUUUUUUUUUAAGAAAAGAGGUAAGAAUUGUUUUAUUCAGUUAGGUAGAUAGUGUUUAUAUUGCCUAGUAAGACUUAAACCUGUUUUAUUAGAAUCUGAGUUUUGCUAACCACACGGGAUGAAAUGCAGAUGGACAAAACGUGGGGUGGAUUCACUGCUAGGGCUCAGGGUAUAUCUGGAGUGGAAACCCGGGCAGAGCUGAUUCAUUGUUUUGUGGGAUUUUUUUUUGGGCAUCACCGUAGCCAUGGCUUAGUGACGAAAUGCUCUUUCUGUUGAGGGCCAGAAUGGUGCACUAAGAUGCUGGUUCUGCAUACCGUCCCCUGUUGUUGGAGGAGGAGCUCAUGGCCCCCGCCCCCCCUCAUGGAAGAGCUCACGGGUUUCCCCAGGGUCCCCCCUCCUCCAGUUGGAGUAGGGGUCACUCUACGUGCUGCCUUGAGAAAAUGCUGAUGCUGUGCUUUUCUCGUAUUAGGAGACCUCUUGGAAAGGCUACACUCUUUCUUCAGAAUGGAUCUGGAACAAGUAUAUGUGAUUAGUCCUUUUUUCAGUAGGUCAUUUCAAUAUAAUAAUGUUAGUAAUCAUGAAAAUGCAUAUUUCCCACUCCCCCAAAUGGGUAGCCAGAAUGGUUCAGAAAAGCUGUUUUUCAGAAGGAAGAGCAAAGUCCUUCACUCAGAAGCGAAAGCGAAGUAAUCUCCUUUAAGAGGAUGCUUCUUUUUAAGGGGGUAAGGGGAAGACAUCCCUCAUUCCAGCAGUGUGUGGUAUGAUGGGUGCUUCCCAGGUGCCAGCAGGAGCUCUGUGAGUGCAGAGAGGGCUGUGAGGUCCCAGCCCCCAGGGACUUCAGAGCAGGCCAUUCUGUGAGGGUUGGCGGGUGUUUUUUUUUUGGGGGGGGGGCAGCAGGGGCACAGGUAGAGGCUGGCAGGUGUAAAGGUGCAGGGGGAGCCCACUGUGUUGGUGAACUGGCGAUGGGCCGCACACAGACACAGAACCCGGCCUUGUUUUCAGGAGGCAGGACUAGGCUGCAGUUGAUCCCAGGUGUCCUAACACGGCUGUUCCUUUGCUUAUUCAGUUUUGUCACAUUUUCAAGGUGAGGCACAGUUAAAUUGCUUCGUCAUUGUGGGGCUGGGCCUGUUUUUUUGUGGCUUCCCUAUUAUCCCCGCCUGUAAAUCCAGACAUUCAGGUCAGCAAGUUUAUUAUUUUGACUGAGGGUCAAGUUCCAUUUCUUGUCCUAUCAAUCACAGAAGUGCUUCUUUUGAGAGUUAAAUGCUGUUGAGACACACUGGGGUUCUAUUUACUGUCUCGUGUGUGAGUAGCAGUAUCAGUGUUAAGAAAACUCAAUACUUAAAAAAAAAAAA